rnacentral:rRNA from 1 species
AGGCAUUGCCCUCGUACGGCGAGUGAAGCGGCAAAAGCUCAAAUUUGAAAUCUAGCACCUUCGGUGUUCGAGUUGUAAUUUGAAGAUGGUAACCUUGGGUUUGGCUCUUGUCUAUGUUCCUUGGAACAGGACGUCAUAGAGGGUGAGAAUCCCGUCUGAUGAGAUGCCCAUUCCUAUGUAAGGUGCUAUCGAAGAGUCGAGUUGUUUGGGAAUGCAGCUCUAAGUGGGUGGUAAAUUCCAUCUAAAGCUAAAUAUUGGCGAGAGACCGAUAGCGAACAAGUACAGUGAUGGAAAGAUGAAAAGAACUUUGAAAAGAGAGUGAAAAAGUACGUGAAAUUGUUGAAAGGGAAGGGCAUUAGAUCAGACUUGGUGUUUUACGAUUAUCUUCUCUUCUUGAGUUGUGCACUCGUAUUUCACUGGGCCAGCAUCGAUUCGGAUGGCAAGAUAAUGGCAGUUGAAUGUGGCUUCACUUCGGUGGAGUGUUAUAGCUUCUGCUGAUAUUGCCUGUCUGGAUCGAGGGCUGCGUCUUUUGACUAGGAUGCUGGCGUAAUGAUCUAAUGCCGCCCGUCUUAAAACAGGGAAAACAGUA